CUCGAGAGGGCGGCGGCGGCGGCAUUGGACGACGACGACCUGCUCCCCGAGAUCCUCCUCCGCCUCCCCUCGCAGCCCUCCUCCCUCCCCCGCGCCUCCGCCGUCUGCAAGUUCUGGCGCAGCCUCGCCUCCGACCCCGGCUUCUCCCGCCGCUUCCGCGCGCACCACCUCCGAAACCCUCCCCUCCUCGGCUGCUUCGUCAAGGAUUUUCGGUAUGUCCCCUUCCAGCCUGCCCGGGAUCCCCCCAAUAGGAUCUCGCAAGGCCACUUCUCCUUCCCGAUUCCCGCCGGCAACCGCUUCCUGCCCCUCGGAUGCCGCCAUGGCCUCGUACUCAUCUUCGACAACCCUGUGGGUAAGCAGAAGCAGCUCCUGGUGUGGGAUCCCGUCACCGGCGACCAACACCACCUGGACAUCCCCCCUGGGUUCGACAUGGAGAUAGCAGCCUCGAUCGGCGCGGCCGUGUUUCGUGCUCCGGGAGAUAUUCGCCAUUUCCAGGUGGUCUUGGUAGGCAACAGCGACAUAGCACAAGGGGUCGCCUCUGUUUACUCGUCGGUGACCGGCGUAUGGGGGAAUCUCAUCUCGACACCGCUUCCGUCUGAGGGUUCUGGUUUUUCUACAGAGGUUUACAUGGGCAUGCCUGCUGUGAUGGUUGGGAGUUCCUUUUAUUGGUUGCUUACCUGGGAUUCCCAAGGAAUCCUUGAAUUUGAUUCGGAUAGGCGGAGCCUAUCUUGCAUACCCAUGCCAGUGGAGGACAGUAAUGGCACGGGCAAUGGUAAUAUUUGGGUUAUGCCGGCAGAGGAUGGUGGCCUUGGUUUCCUUUUACUGAGAGGCUUUUGUGCCGAACUAUGGAAGUGGAAGACCGAUUGCAAGGGUGUUUCUUCAUGGGUGCUGGGAAGAAGUAUUGAUCUGGACAAGCUACUUCCCCUUGAUUUAGGGAUGGGGCGAAAGUGGCCAUUGAUAAUAGUAGGGUUCGCCGAGGACAAUAAUGUGAUGUUGCUGUGGACGUCUGUUGGCGUCUUCACGGUUCAGUUUGAAUCAUUGCAAUUCAAGAAAGUUUUCGAAUUCAACCCCUGGUAUCGCUUUUAUCCAUUCGAAGGUGUCUAUACUGCAGGUAUAAAGAAACUAAAGUUACUCUGUAUUUGA
rnacentral:rRNA from 1 species